UGUGAAUAUACUUCACAGCAGAUCAAACACAUUUAUGGCAUGCACUGACCUCUUCUUAGAGCCCAGAACUUUAAUGGGCUGAAACAGUUGGUAUAGCAACCCCAGAGAAGCGCUUCAUUUUCUUUUUAUAGUAGAAGCAGGUCCAUGUCUUUUGUGGUUUCCUUCACAUCUUUGGAGUAGUUGUGACUUCUCAGUUUUUCCCCCCUUAAACUGCAUUGCCUGUUCUCUUUUCCUGACAUGCUAUCAGGUAUCAGUGUGUUGAAUACAUACUGCUUGUGUAUCAGACUUAUGUUACUGUCAUUACCAUUAAAAGAAUCGCAGCCUUGUGCCCCAUGACCUUCAAAAAAAAAAAAAA
rnacentral:lncRNA from 1 species